AGCGAACGCUGGCGGUAGGCCUAACACAUGCAAGUCGAACGGCAGCACAGUAAGAGCUUGCUCUUACGGGUGGCGAGUGGCGGACGGGUGAGGAAUACAUCGGAAUCUACUUUUUCGUGGGGGAUAACGUAGGGAAACUUACGCUAAUACCGCAUACGACCUACGGGUGAAAGCAGGGGAUCUUCGGACCUUGCGCGAUUGAAUGAGACGAUGUCGGAUUAGCUAGUUGGCGGGGUAAAGGCCCACCAAGGCGACGAUCCUUAGCUGGUCUGAGAGGAUGAUCAGCCACACUGGAACUGAGACACGGUCCAGACUCCUACGGGAGGCAGCGGUGGGGAAUAUUGGACAAUGGGCGCAAGCCUGAUCCAGCCAUACCGCGUGGAUGAAGAAGGCCUUCGGGUUGUAAAGCCCUUUUGUUGGGAAAGAAAAGCAGCAGGUUAAUACCCCGCUGUUCUGACGGUACCCAAAGAAUAAGCACCGGCUAACUUCGUG
rnacentral:rRNA from 1 species